rnacentral:rRNA from 1 species
UACGGAGGGGAGCUAGCGUUGUUUCGGAAUUACUGGGGCGUAAAGCGCACGUAGGCGGAUUUGUAAGUCAGGGGUGAAAGUCCCGGGGCUCCAACCCUCGGAACUGCCUUUGAAUACUGCAAAUCUCGAGUCCGGAAGGAGGUGAGUGGAAUUCCUAGUGUAGAAGGUGAAAUUCGUAGAUAUUAGGAAGAACACCAGUGGCGAAGGCGGCUCACUGGUCCGGUACUGACGCUGAGGU